rnacentral:lncRNA from 10 species
UCAUAUAAUUCCAUUUUUAAUUUUUUUAAGAAAAUUAUGCUUUUUUUUUUUUUUUUACACAGAGUUUCACUCUAUCACCCAGGCUGUAGUGCAGUGGUGCCAUCUCAGCUCACUGCAACCUCUGCUUCCUGGGCUCGAGCCUUCUUCCCACUUCAGCCUCCUGAGGACCUGGAACUACAGGGGCACACCGCCACACCCAGCUAACUUUUGUGUUUUUAAUAGAGACAGGGUUUUGCCAUGUUGCCCAGGCUGGUCUCGGACUCCUGGGCUCAAGUGAUCCACCCGCCUCGGUCUCCCGAAGUGCUGGGGUUCCAGGUGUGAGCUGGUGUGAACCAGUGUGCCCGGCCUAUGCUAUCUUUCAUCGUGGCUGCAUCCUUUCUUUCCUACCAGCAGGUUACGUGGUUUUCAAUGUCUUCACAUCCUUGACAGCUAUGUCUUCUCAUUUUACCCAAGACCUUCUGCCAGAGCAGGGCAUACAAGAUGCAUUCCCAAAAAGAAUACUGAGAGGAUAUGGAAAUUGUGGCCUUGAUAAUUUAUAUUUA